rnacentral:rRNA from 1 species
GUGGGGAAUAUUGGACAAUGGGCGCAAGCCUGAUCCAGCCAUGCCGCGUGAGUGAUGACGGCCCUAGGGUUGUAAAGCUCUUUCACCGGUGAAGAUAAUGACGGUAACCGGAGAAGAAGCCCCGGCUAACUUCGUGCCAGCAGCCGCGGUAAUACGAAGGGGGCUAGCGUUGUUCGGAAUUACUGGGCGUAAAGCGCACGUAGGCGGGUAUUUAAGUCAGGGGUGAAAUCCCGGAGCUCAACUCCGGAACUGCCUUUGAUACUGGGUACCUAGAGUAUGGAAGAGGUAAGUGGAAUUCCGAGUGUAGAGGUGAAAUUCGUAGAUAUUCGGAGGAACACCAGUGGCGAAGGCGGCUUACUGGUCCAUUACUGACGCUGAGGUGCGAAAGCGUGGGGAGCAAACAGGAUUAGAUACCCGGGUAGUCC